rnacentral:rRNA from 1 species
UACGUAGGGAGCGAGCGUUGUCCGGAUUUAUUGGGCGUAAAGCGCUCGCAGGUGGUUCGUCGCGUCGUGCGUGAAAGACCCCGGCUCAACUGGGGGAGGUCGUGCGAUACGGGCGGACUGGAGGCCAGUAGGGGGAUGCGGAAUUCCGGGUGUAGUGGUGGAAUGCGUAGAGAUCCGGAGGAACACCAGUGGCGAAGGCGGCUUCCUGGCCUGUUCUUGACGCUGAGGCGCGAAAGCUAGGGGAGCAAACGGGG